rnacentral:rRNA from 1 species
AUUGAACGCUGGCGGCAUGCUUUACACAUGCAAGUCGAACGGCAGCACGGGGGCAACCCUGGUGGCGAGCGGCGAACGGGUGAGUAACACAUCGGAACGUGCCCAGUUGUGGGGGAUAACCUAUCGAAAGGUAGGCUAAUACCGCAUGAGCUCGGCAAGAGGAAAGCGGGGGACUCAGCGAUGGGCCUCGCGCGACUGGAGCGGCCGAUGUCCGAUUAGCAGUUGGUGGGGUAAAGGCUUACCAAGGCGACGAUCGGUAGCUGGUCUGAGAGGAUGAUCAGCCACACUGGGACUGAGACACGGCCCAGACUCCUAC